rnacentral:rRNA from 1 species
GACGAAGGAUGCAAGCGUUAUCCGGAUUCAUUGGGUUUAAAGGGAGCGUAGGCGGCCUUGUAAGUCAGUGGUGAAAUCUUCCCGCUUAACGGGAAACUGCCAUUGAUACUGCUUGGCUUGAGUACAGAUGCUGUGGGCGGAAUAUGACAUGUAGUGGUGAAAUACAUAGAGAUGUCAUAGAACACCGAUUGCGAAGGCAGCUCACAAAACUGUAACUGACGCUGAGGCUCGAAAGUGUGGGAUCAAACAGG